CUACGGGACGCUGCAGUGGGGAAUAUUGCACAAUGGGGGAAACCCUGAUGCAGCAAUGCCGCGUGAAGGAUGAAGGUUUUCGGAUUGUAAACUUCUUUCGCUGGGGAAGAAAAAAAUGACGGUACCCAGAUAAGAAGCCCCGGCUAACUAUGUGCCAGCAGCCGCGGUAAUACAUAGGGGGCAAGCGUUAUCCGGAUUUACUGGGUGUAAAGGGUGCGUAGGCGGCAAUAUAAGUCAGGUGUGAAAACCCGGGGCUCAACUCCGGGACUGCACUUGAAACUAUAUAGCUAGAGUACAGGAGAGGUAAGUGGAAUUCCUAGUGUAGCGGUGAAAUGCGUAGAUAUUAGGAAGAACACCAGUGGCGAAGGCGACUUACUGGACUGACACUGACGCUGAGGCACGAAAGCGUGGGGAGCGAACAGGAUUAGAUACCCCAGUAGUC
rnacentral:rRNA from 1 species